UACGUAGGUGGCAAGCGUUGUCCGGAUUUAUUGGGCGUAAAGGGAGCGCAGGCGGUGACUUAAGUCUGAUGUGAAAGCCCACGGCUCAACCGUGGAAGGUCAUUGGAAACUGGGUCACUUGAAUACAGAAGAGGAAAGUGGAAUUCCAUGUGUAGCGGUGAAAUGCGUAGAUAUAUGGAGGAACACCAGUGGCGAAGGCGGCUUCCUGGUCUGUAACUGACACUGAGGCGCGAAAGCGUGGGGAGCAAACAGGAUUAGAUACCCU
rnacentral:rRNA from 1 species